rnacentral:rRNA from 1 species
GACGAACGCUGGCGGCGUGCUUAACACAUGCAAGUCGAACGCUGAAGCUUGGUGCUUGCACUGGGUGGAUGAGUGGCGAACGGGUGAGUAAUACGUGAGUAACCUGCCCUUGACUCUGGGAUAAGCCUGGGAAACUGGGUCUAAUACUGGAUAUGACAUGCCACUGCAUGGUGGUGUGUGGAAAGGGUUUUACUGGUUUUGGAUGGGCUCACGGCCUAUCAGCUUGUUGGUGGGGUAAUGGCCUACCAAGGCGACGACGGGUAGCCGGCCUGAGAGGGUGACCGGCCACACUGGGACUGAGACAAGGCCCAGACUCCUACGGGAGGCAGCAGUGGGGAAUAUUGCACAAUGGGCGGAAGCCUGAUGCAGCGACGCCGCGUGAGGGAUGACGGCCUUCGGGUUGUAAACCUCUUUCAGCACGGAAGAAGCGAGAGUGACGGUACGUGCAGAAGAAGCGCCGGCUAACUACGUG